rnacentral:lncRNA from 1 species
AAAAAACCAAACAACCGAUUAUAGUAAUAAGUAAUUAACUAUAUCAGAAACAGGUCACUUCACUCCCUCGUCCCUAAGGCGGAUUAGUGGUUUAUUUUCAAAAAGGAUUAUUCAUCGUAACCUAAUUUAAAAAUGAUGCUGAGAGAAUUAAGAAAGAAUAAUAGUGAAUGACAACUUACGUCCACAUUUGUAGCCCACGGGACGAUUGGCAAGGUUGCAGCGUUUAGGGAUUGUUACGGCAACUUCAGGUUUGGCUCCAGAAUCCUUAGCAGUAUUGGAUAACAUAACAGCACAGAGACAUUUCGGAUUCUGUCCCAGUUUCUGUAUCUGCUGGCAGCAGCUUCUGG